UUUCACAGUCUUUAUAUUUCCAUUGUUAACAUGUACAAACAAUUUGAACAUUUUUGAAAUAUUUAAAGUACAGAAAUCUGGAGAUUAAAAACUGCUAUUAUUUUGAACAAUUUCACUAUGUGUUUAAAUUUUCGAUUGGUCCUUCAAAAAAUAUAUUUUGUAAUCGGGAAAUUCAGUAUAUUUGAAGUUCACAUGCGAAAUUUCAGCUCAAUAGCUCAGAAGAGAACAAAGAUACAGCAUGUAAAAGUUGACUAGUUUUUGCAGAAUAUCAGCAAGUCAAAAAAUGGAUUAUCCACAAUCAAGGUGAGUGGGAAGAGUUAAAAUAUAAGUGGAAGCAAACGUCUCGGUUGAGACUAUUUGAACUAGCGAAAAACAACAUUACUAUUUCGACAAGUACCAUUCUUUCGGAGUAUUCCGUAUUACGCAAUCACCAAGCAUAUCAACUUGUGCAGAUUGACUUCCAGCAUCGGUAUCCGGAUAAGGAAAAACUUCUUUUUGAUCGUUGGGACCAGUUCGUCUCGGGUCUUCGUCCAAUUUUGGAAAUCGAGGUCAGUGAUGUAGAAGGGAAAGUUCUUCUUAAUCGGUUAAGGAAUCAGGAAACAACGACUGAUGGUAAAGGCCUCCUAACAGUAUUACUACUGACCCACAUUCUGCCAAGUCCUAUGUUGACAAUCUCGCAAAAGCGUCGCUGGAAACCUUCAAUAGUUGAGUCUCGUGAAAGUGUGAUAACUCAAAUUGAAAGUCUAUCAGAACUACAUACCACUUUGACGAAACAUUUGAAUGCCUGUCGUGAUAGAGGAAUACCAUCAACGCCCUUCAUCGUGGUUCAUGGAACAGACACAACUCGUCCUGAAGGGUUUGCGGUGUAGAAUAACGAAGUCUCAUACAAGUUGUCAAGCCUACCGAAGGCGCUCGAUGUCUGUAUUAAGCUGUACAAAACCUAUGACAUUGAAUUUCCCAAGCAAUCAUCGUUGAUUUGGAAUUUGCUAGCCUCGUUUUUUACGAUUUUCAAGCACCAGCCGAUCAAGUUUCUAUCUCGGCGCUUUGCUCAUCUAUUCAUAAUCAUCUAUCAAAAUCAUGAUUCACUGCAUAUCCCCCCGAUGCACUUGGAGCAAUAACUCACUUCAAAAGUUUUAUGAUCACCUUAACAAAUUCCACGAUAAUCUCCAGGUUUUCGAAUGCAAUGUAGGUAAUUGCUCCAGAAAAUACACCGUGAAGCAUUCAUUUUAUCGACAUUUCAAAGCGCACUGCCGUAAAACAUCCAUUUUGAAGACAACAGAAACAUCUAAUUCGAGCUUAAACGAUUUUACUACUACUAAUGCCGAAGAAUAUUAUUCAAACAUAGAUGAUGAGCAAGUAACGUAUGCAUCGUUUUCCUCAAAUUCAAUUGAUGCACAGGAACAACCACUUGAGAAUUUGUUGUACAUGGAUAAGUUAAAUGCUCUAAUUGAAAAAAUACAAAACGUUUCUGUAGACUUUAACCUGAAAUAUCUUAACGCAACUACAAUUCCACGGAAAACUGUUUUUGAUAUUCGAAAAGAUAUCAAAUCUAAAAUCAUAGAUCUAUUUUCUGAAGCAAUCGAUAUAAUGACAUCAAUCGGUAUGGUGACUGAAGAGGGUAAAAACAUUUAAAGUAAAAUGUUCUCAGCAGUAACAGAAGUAGAGUCAGAGUAUAAGCAUCUUGCAAGACUGAAAGAGCUUAACCUUUAUGUUGAUCCGAACGAAUUUGUUAUCAGCAAUGAGCUUUAUCCUGGUAUGGUACAAAAUAAACAAAUAAUGGAUAACAAUCUCGUUACAGGCAUUCUAAUGCCCAUGCAAUUCACUUUGAGGAAAUAUUUGGAAUCGACAGGAGUCAUGGCAACUGUUAUUAAGAGUAUCAAACCCUCUGGUGACGGUUUCAUUCGAAGCCUGUUGGAUGGUAGAAUUUGGAAAACGAGGACUGCAGGUCUAGAAUCAAAGAUUGUAAUUCCACUGAACCUAUUCUUCGACGACUUUACUAGAACCGACACCAUCUCACCUCAUGCAGCGAGCACUUCUGUAUGCGGGAUUCAUUGUUACGUCGCUUGUCUACCUGCAAACGUUUUAACGAAACUAUAAAAUGUACAUGUUGUCGGCUAUGAACUGGCAGAAAAUAGAAAAAAAUACAACAAUGAACAACUAUUCAGUAACCUUGUAAACACGCUUAGCGAGUUAGAGACAAGUGGCCUCAGCAUUAGUUAUGACGGAGCAAAUUUAACAGUUUAUUUUAUUUUUUUUUUCUUCAUCUAUAAUUUAUUUGACACGGCACAAAUACAAUUUAAUGUUU